UCGCCGGCGCCAUUUUGUGCGCGGCUCUUUCCCAUUUUAGGCCGCGGGGAGAGGGAGAAGCGGGAGCGGCUGUGGGAUCGGUGGAAGGAACGGCCGGGAGGCUCAUCCUGAGGUCUGCGGAGGCGGCACCGCGUCUCUUCCCGGCUAUAUGGCCCCGUCGCUGCGUCUUGGUGGCGGCCGCGCUUGAGGCGGCGCCGGCGCAGGAGCGGGCCCGACCGGAGGCGGAAGUGGAGCGGCCGCCAUGGAGGCGCCGGGACCGCCCGCCGUGAGGGCGCGGAGCCGGCGGGGCGGCCCGAGCGCCCCGCAGAGACACGCCCGGGGUGCAGCAUAAAAUUCCUGCCCCUGUGGAUGUAUCAGUUACAGCCAGGACAAUUAGGAGGCUCAUGGCACAUCACCCACCAAUGCAAAAGGACUUUAUUUCUGUUUAGCCAGUGAGCAGGAGAGGUGACUUGUUCUUUUAUGGUAUUUUAAGUACCUAAGAAUGCCCAGUGGGCAGCUCAGCACAGCACAAAUGUCCUCACACAGAUUAAGGAUGAUUUCUGUUGUCAUGCAAUCAGAGGACUGUGCUUUUGGCAAGGCAGGAAAAAAAGUCUAAUUUUGGUUUAAAUAUCUUUUCAUUGGAAUAGGAAAUUCAAGACUCAAGAAUUACUCCAUGGUACUGAAAUUUUUCAUCCUAAAUAUUAAGCAGCUCUGAAACUUGAAGCCAUCCUGGUUGUGCUGGAUCUUUGCACUGUGCCCCGUCCCCCUAUGCAAACCCUUACAGGAAAACUGGGAAUGAGUGGAAGAAAUGAGCAAAGAAGGUCACUUUGGUGAGCCUUUUUAUCAUGGCCCGGUGUGUUAACUGCACAGAGUUAACAACUGAGAAGCUCUAGAGUGGGACAAUCACAGGCUGCAAGUUCAUGUUGGUGACGAUAGUUACAGCUAUCCUGGGGAAGUCACGCAGUGUUGCAAAACAACGACACAGCACUGCAGGGAAGCUGAAGAUCUGUGCAGCAGCUUUAAUUUAGAUGUGGCAAAGGAUUCUGUCACCACCUGCAAUCAAGUGAUCAGCCUGUCUUUCAAAACUUGAAGUAGGUGCUUGAAGUCAAAUGAGAAUUUAGUUACUGUUCUGGGUAGCACUGCUCACAGAGCUGCUGAAGGAGAGUGUUCUUACAUAUUUUUCAAAAUUACACUUUGGAUGCCAGCAGUAAAGGUGAAAGAUUACAUUUUUACAUCCACCUGCCAUUAGUUCUCUUUCAGGGUUUCUGAAUAACAUUUUUCAUGGCAGGCACAAGCAGUGCUUAGUACCAGAAAUGUAUCUUGUGCAUGUACAGGCUGCAUCAGUACAUUAAGCAUUCCAGUACUGUAAACCUAAUUUUUUAAACUCUGUGCUUUUUAACCGGCUUCCAAAUUAUCUGCAGCAUGCAGCCUUUUUUCUUGGCUUCUGAGGUGGAAACCAUAUUCCUGAUGUAAAUUCUUUAUCUCUGAAAAUUUUGAUCUUUCAAGGGGAGAGAAGAUGGUUUUUUUACAGGAAUGAAGGAAUAGUUUUGUUAGUAAGUACAGUCAGUUACCCAUCAACAGAUUGAAUAUAUUUUAUGUUCUUGAAAUAAACUUAAAUGGAAAGCAUUUAAACUUACACCUGAAUCUCUGAAUAGUCUGUAUUCUUCCUAACAAAGUCAAAUCUCUAGUUUAUAAUUACUGCUGCUUUAGUAAACUCCCAUCUAAAUCAAAUGUACAGGGUAAAACUUGAAAGCAAAACCCAUGUGGGUUUGGGAGUGGCAAUUACUUAUUUCAUUGCUAUGAGAACCAUUAGGAGAAAAAGUCUUUGAAGCUCUGCAUGUUGUAUUUGAAGAACCUUCCUGCAGUCUUCUGAGUAAAUUAAGGUUCUGAAAUAGAAGUUACUCCUCCAUAAAUAUUUAACUUCUAAGAUCUACUUUGUAGCAACAGUGUGGUCGCUUUUUCAGCCUUUUGUGAUGCCACACUGGGAGGAAAUGUUUACUGAAGAGGUGUCUAAUGCUGCCCAUAGCUAAGAUGUGACUUGCUGCUGACACUGGAGAGCUGAAAUGGGUGUUUCACUUUGUUACAGACAACUAACUCUGGCAGGAUUAAUUUCUUUACCUUUGUUAGAUUCAGGGUCUUCUUCUUUGUCAGUAGUUUGAGUGAUCUGUCAUGGACAAUCUGAAGUAAGAAUCUUCCCUGUUUAUCCUUUUAUCCUACCUGUUGCUAGUUUAUAUCUUAGACUAAUUUUUUCCCACUGCUUCCUGGGAAAACUUUUUGCUGCAGCACUAGCCAUGUAAAAAAAAAGUACAAGAAGGAAAUAAAGGUCUUAUGAGCCAUGUUCUCAUACACCAGUGUCUGAAAAAUCUUGUGCAAGUGGCUUGCAGAGUUCAGACUUUUACUAAAAUGCAUCUUUCCAUACUUGUGGAGAUAAAGAACAAAGUUUAAUACUGAUGGUGAGUCCUUGGACAUGGUCCACCUGCCAGAGCAGGGGUGUCUCAGGCUUGCCAGCACUGAUAAGCUGGUGAUUAAAAUGCUUUAUUGUUACAGAUGCAGAGUGUAGAGCAACGUGAUCCAGCAGGAUCAGGACUGUGGAUUCACAGUCCUUCCUUGUAACCCUCCAGAAGCACUGUGUGUAUCCCUGAAGUGUGUGACACUGCAGUCCGUGUGUCCCUGCCAGCCUGGCACAAAGAGAAGCAGCAGCACUGCUGUUCAGCCUGGCUGCUCAGCAAAAGAAAGCUGGUGAGGGCAGUGGAUACAUGGCCUUUCUUCCAGGGCUUUUGCCUGUCCAAAUUAUUUCAAUCACUGCAGGUUAAUUUACUUUUUAGCCUCAGCUGACAAGACUGCAGUUGGUCAGUAUUGACUUUUAAGUAAAAAGUAUUAAUGCCUUCAGUCUUUUGAAUUAAAUAUUUUGAGCUGUAAGUAGCUGUUGGUGAGAAUCUACAGUUCAGCCAGUGAUUAAAUUCUGAAUUUUUUUUUCCUGCUCAGCCAUCUUUUCCAAGCUAUUUUUCAUUUGUCUGUGUUUUUUGGAGGAUAUUAUUCCAGGUAGCUCAUUUCCAGGUGGCCAGGAAGCUGGCUGCCCCAUCAACACUUAAGCUGUUAAUUAAUUGCCAGACUGUGCUGUUUGCUGGAGUUGGUACCUCAGGGAUGUGCUUUUCCCUGCAGUGCUCCUGUGUAGUGUCACCUCAUUAGCUACAGCUAUAAACAGAGCUGUGUUGUGUGACAUUCAAAACUCUGACAGAGCAGAAGACAUGGCUUUUUAGAGGGUUUUGUUAUUCUGGAUCAAUGGAAGAUGUAUUUGUGGGAGUGAUCUGUCAUGUCCUUGCAAGCAGCACAACAGGAUACACUGGUAUGAGGCACUUGGCUGGGGGAAGCAGCUCUUGUUAAACCAACUGAUGGAAAACACAUUUAGCUACACUUUAGUUCUGCCUCAAACAGCAUUUCAGAUUUGUUUCUGUUCCUGAUGUACACAGGAAAGUGUCUGGGGGAAAUAGGCUCUCACUUGGUGGGCUUUGGUGACUGGGAGCAGCUGGGGUUGGAACUGAAACUGAGCUUUGAACAUUCUGCUAAAGUAGCUGGUGCUUCCUGUGCUGCUGUUGUCACCUGUUAAUGCAGUCUCACGGAAUAGCUCUGUUCUUUCUGAAAGUAAUGAAAGGAGCAGAUUUCCUGCUUUUCUAGAAUCCCAACAAACAAGAUAAAAUUUAACUUACAAAUAUUUAGGCAUCACUUGGGGUGGGUUUUGGGGGUGUGUGUUUGUGUUUGGAAUGCAUCCGUUUUUUGGUGAAUUCACUAUAAUUGGGCCUACUCUUAAUCUGGUGAAAUUGGAAUCCUAAUGACUGAUUUUGGAUAUGCAGACAGUAUGUGUACCAAAUUAUAUCUAAUUUUAUGGAGCAAUAAAGCACACCAUGUUCUUUCUAAA